rnacentral:lncRNA from 1 species
UAAAAUAUUAGGGUUUUUGAGAGCUGUGGGAGGCGCAGGAAACGUGUGUGGCCAUUAUGUCUUGGGAAUUUCCAUAGCUCGUUGUCCAUCCAACGUUGGGAAUUGAGCGGGAUACAGUCGAGAAGAUCAGAGCUGGAGUCAGAUUUUCGCAGGAAACCAAGUUCUGGCAGUCUCCGUAAAACGGCCAUAACUUCCACCACAGAACUCCGAUUCAGACGAAUCAGGCGGCCACGGAAAGCUCUCUCGAAGACGAAGAAGUCGUAUUUCUGGGUGAAAUACGAUUGGAGGUCGUUUGAGGGGUCAAACGGAGCUUUGAAGUUGGCUGACCUGUUCAGCGACAGAUUGACGAAUUC